GAUGAACGCUAGCGGCAGGCUUAAUACAUGCAAGUCGAGGGACAGCACAGGUAGCAAUACUGGGUGGUAACCGGCAAACGGGUGCGGAACACGUACACAACCUUCCUUUAAGUGGGGGAUAGCCCAGAGAAAUUUGGAUUAAUACCCCGUAAUAUAGUUGAAUGGCAUCAUUUGAUUACUAUAGCUACGGCGCUUAAUGAUGGGUGUGCGGCUGAUUAGAUAGUUGGCGGGGUAACGGCCCACUAAGUCUACGAUCAGUAGCUGAUGUGAGAGCAGGAUCAGCCACACGGGCACUGAGACACGGGUCCGACUCCUACGGGAGGCAGCAGUAAGGAAUAUUGGUAAAUGGACGCAAGUCUGAACCAGCCAUGCCGCGUGAAGGAUUAAGGUCCUCUGGAUUGUAACUUCUUUUAUUUGGGACGAAAAAGGGCCUUUCUAGGUCAACUGACGGUACCAGAUGAAUAAGCACCGGCUAACUCCGUGCCAGCCGCCGCCGUAAUAC
rnacentral:rRNA from 1 species